GCAGUCGCCGCGGGAAUACGGAGGGUGCAAGCGUUAUCCGGAUUUAUUGGGUUUAAAGGGUCCGUAGGCGGAUCUGUAAGUCAGUGGUGAAAUCUCACAGCUUAACUGUGAAACUGCCAUUGAUACUGCAGGUCUUGAGUAAAUUUGAAGUGGCUGGAAUAAGUAGUGUAGCGGUGAAAUGCAUAGAUAUUACUUAGAACACCAAUUGCGAAGGCAGGUCACUAAGAUUUAACUGACGCUGAUGGACGAAAGCGUGGGGAGCGAACAGGAUUAGAUACCCCUGUAGUCCCUGUCUCUUAUAC
rnacentral:rRNA from 1 species